CGGUAGCAAAUCGCAUGGCCCUCUCUGUGAUCUUCCACAGCUUUCUUGAACUGCUCGGAUCUGCCUAAUUAGAUCACGGCUUGGGUUUGCACGAGAGGGCAGUUCAAUAAAGCUGUGGGAAAUUUCAGAGAGAGGCCAAUUGAUCGGCACAUA